rnacentral:rRNA from 1 species
CAUGCGGCGGCUAUACAUGCAGUCGAGGGGCACUCACAGGUAUCGAUACUGGGUGGCGACCGGGAAACGGGAGCGGAACACGUACGUACCCUUCCUUUAAGUGGGAGAUAGCCCGAAGAAAUUCGGAUUAAUACCCCAUAAGAUCUUGGAGUGGCAUCACUCAGUGAUUAAAGAAUUUCGCUUAAAGAUGGGCGUGCGGCUGAUUAGGUAGUUGGUGAGGUAACGGCUCACCAAGCCAACGAUCAGUAACUGGCGUGAGAGCGCGACCAGUCACACGGGCACUGAAACACGGGCCCGACUCCUACGGGAGGCGCAAUAAGGAAUAUUGGUCAAUGGACGGAAGUCUGAACCAGCCAUGCCGCGUGAAGGAUGAAGGUCCUCUGGAUUGUAAACUUCUUUUAUAUGGGAAGAAACCACUUUUUUCUAAAGGUGUUGACGGUACCAUAGGAAUAAGCACCGGCUAACUCCGUGCCAACAGCCGCGGUAAUACGGAGGGUGCAAGCGUUAUCCGGAUUCACUGGGUUUAAAGGGUGCGUAGGCGGAUUAGUAAGUCCGUGGUGAAAUCUCCGAGCUUAACUCGGAAACUGCCGUGGAUACUAUUAAUCUUGAAUGCUGUGUAGGUUACCGAAAUAUGUCAUGUAACGCUGAAAUGCAUAGAUAUGACAUAGAACACCAAUAGCGAAGGCAGCUGGCUACACAGAGAUUGACGCUGAGGCACGAAAGCGUGGGGAUCAAACAGGAUUACAUACCCUGGUAGUCCACGCGCUAAACGAUGAUUACUCGACAUAUUGCGAUAUACAGUAAGUGUCUGAGCGAUAGCAUUAAGUAAUCCACCCUGGGAAGUACUGACCGCUAGGGUUGAAACUCAAAGGAAUUGACGUGCGUCGACACUAGCGGUGGCACCAUGUAGUUUAGUACGAUGAUACUCAUUAACAUUACCUGCGACUAAACUGCUGGGGACUGCAUCUGACAGGAUCCUUUUGUAGCAAUGACCCGCCAGUACGUGCUGCAUGCCUGUCGUCAGCUCGUGUCGGUGAAGUGUCGGGUCAGUACAGCACGAUCCCAUCCCUAUCCUUAGCUGGCACAGUCAAGCUGGCAACUUAGUACUGCCUUCAGAGACGCCAGAGCAGGGAUGAUCAGGCAUCAUGCUUAUGCAGCUAACUGGGUCAAUGCAGGACUAGACUGGUACUGAUAG